UCGCAUCAUGUUGGGAAAUGUGUUUGAGUAAGAUGGAUGCUAUACGUGGAUUGAUUUGUGCAGUAAUCGUAAUAAAUUGCUUUACAUAUGCGUUUGGUUUUAAAUAAUAUUUUAAGUGCCUGAGAAAAGCGUUCUUUGACAAUGUCGUACCGAGAUUUAAGGAACUUUACAGAAAUGAUGAGAUCUCUUGGAUAUACUCGACUGAUUUCCAUGGAGAACUUCCGGAAUCCCAAUUUCCAAUUAGUAGCUGAAAUUUUAAUAUGGAUAGUGAAGCGGUUUGAUCCUGAUGCAGACAUUCCAUCAGAGAUUGAUACUGAACAAGAUAGGGUCAUCCUUGUUAAGUCAGCUGCACAGUUUAUGGCAUCUAAAGCCAACAUAAAGCUGAACACAAAGCGCAUCUAUCAGGCUGAUGGCUAUGCUGUCCGGGAGUUACUGAAGGUGACGUCUGUGCUGUACAGUGCUCUGCGAGUGAACAUGGCAUCUCUUGGAGAUAAUAGCUCUUCUCUCUCUUCUCCUGUUGACAUCUCAUCAAAGAUCCAUGAACUGGCCCAAACUAGACAACUGGCAUCACAGAUUACAGCAAGAGGGGCCGGGCUGUACGAUUUGCUAGGGAAGGAAGUGGAGAUGCGGGAACUGCGUAACAUGUGUGUCAGCCGACAGCUUGAGAUGGCAGAGGUAGAGGCUUCAGUGCGGAAGGCUCUUGAAACAGUCAAGAUGGAGAUUGCAAAUAAAAAACAGCAGAUGGAGAAUGUGUCUGCCAGUGAAGCGAACCUAGACAGCAAAAUUGAGAAGAAGCAGACUGAAUUGGACCGCAAUAAAAAACGCCUGCAGACCUUGAAAAAAGUUAGGCCAGCAUUCCUUGAGGAAUUCGAACGUUUGGAGGUAGAGCUACAGCAGCUGUACCAGGAUUACCUGGUUCGGUUCCGGUGUGUGGCAUAUUUGGAGCAGCAGCAAGAGGAGGCAGAGCAGGCUGAACAUGAGCGUAUGGAGGCAAGAAAGGCUUACACUAAAAGACUACUGGAGCAGAUGAGACAAGAAGAUAAGUUGCUUGAAAGCUCAGUGGACUUGUUUGAGCCUGGAGAGGUCAAAGAGGGAGACGAGGUUUCUAAGCUGGGAGUUGGGAAGGCGAGCCGUGUGAGAAUCAAGACAGCAUCAGGAGUGAUGCGCAAAGCAUCUGCAGCAGGUCAGCAGACACGUCGUGUGUUUGGCAGUAUGAAUGCACCACCUGAUGAAGAGGAGGAUUCUGGAAGCCUGGACUCUGACUCGGACUUACUGCUGGAUGGGGAGGGCUCAGAGUUGUUAGGUAGUGAGGAGGAGGACGAGGAGUUGGAACUGGGGCUGGAUGUUGCAGUGAACAAGGACAAGCAUAGUACAAGCAGACUCCAGCAGGAGCACAGUGAUGAUGACUUCUGAAAACACCCAUGUUCUUUGGCAUCAACCAAAACAUUCGCCUUUCAGUGUUCACGCGCACACAAUUAGAUUGCACUGCAUGUUGGUUUAGCAGUUUCAUCACCUCUGAGGUCCAGUUGUACUCUUGCAUGGAGGCGCCUGCUGCUGCAUAUUUAGUUUGCAUGCUACACUUGGAAGCUGGAGAUUGCUGUCAUGGUGUGUGACAGUAUCAUACCUGAGUGAUGAAACAGACAAAGUUCCAUCCACUUUCUUGAAUUUUCAUUUGGAUGCUUCACCUGAAACAACUUUAAUGGAAACUGUCGAGUCUCCUGUUAACUUAUUUUGUUUAAGCAAGAACAACUUACCUGAAGCACUGGUUGCUUAGAUUUGCCUGUGCCUGACUCCAUGGCUAUUGUUAUGAACUCCUCAGCUAUUUCACGGUCGAGUCCCGUGUAUGUUUGAGCCACUUCCUCCUCUGUCACUGGCCUCUGAUGUUCUACUGGGACUGAAGCAGCACUGCCGUGCUUCCUCUUGUUUGUGCCACGGCGUCCUCUUCGAACAAUGUUGUGAUCUCGGUUUGAUUUUAGAUUGGUGGCACUUGCGUCCAUGCCGAGGUGAACAACGCACGGAGCUACACUUCCUUUCCUCCAUACAUCUUUAUGAUGAGGCAAUUACUGAGCAACUUCAAGCUCAUUUUGCAGUCAACACUGAGGAUUUCAAAGCCACAGUUCCCGCUACUUGUCACUGCUGCCUUGAGAACCAGUUCCAUGCACGCGCCAACAUAUUGCACACUGAACGAACCAGGUGUUUGUUCCAGCAGCAAUGAUGCAACACAAAUUAGUUCUAAGGUGGUUUCAUUUGCGUCGCAGGAUACCGACAGAUUUUAUUCAAUCCCUACAACCAACCAACAUCUCUUAGACUCCCAACAAAUGCGAUGAAGAUGCUUUUGCUACUGAGGAGAAAACAAGAGUGGCCUGACCUUGACACGACGACAAAAUGCCACGAGUCACAUUGCAGAAGACGACCGACUGAUCUGCAAGCAGCCGCCCCCAGUGAAUGCAUCCUGGGAGCAAUGCUGGACACAGCCCGUCGUGAUGAGUGGCAGCACCUCUGCGUCAACACAACCAGCGCCUGCUUUCAAUAUGGGUUCAACGAAGCUGUCACUCAAGCAAGAAGGGACAGUAGGCUGGUAUUGCUGCUUGCUCAGGUUGUACCAUGGAGCGUCUGACACCACCUGCAACGGAAUUUAACAGACUGUCUUGUAUUUUAUGAUCGUACAAUGAACAUUAGUUAGAACCUAAAGCCUCACAUUACCAGAUAUUUGACCCUUUUCAUGCUGGCUUUUAGAAACCUUAUUUCCACAGUAAUACACAAUUUAUAUUAUUGGGAAGCCAUAACCCACAUAAAAUAGAAUCAAUGCAUGCACAGUUUGAAUGAAGUCGUACCUGUGCUUAAUUAAGCACAUGCCUUACAGACAUAAGGAAGAGUGGAGGUUUAAUUGCUUUCAUGUCCCAGCCACUUUACACCCCCAAAAAAAGAGCCCCUGAAAUCCAUUGGAGAGAAGACUGGGUUAGCCCCACAGACUAUCUGUACUCAGUAACAAAAAGAAAAAGUUUAUAACCCUGCAGCGGAUCAAACUCCAGUUGCCCGAAUCAUAGUGUAGUAUAUUGACUGAGCUGUACUCACAGCUUCCAUAACAACAGCAUAAUUAUGUCACUGAUACUGUAGUGUGUCAACAUAACAGCAACAUAAAUUAAACAAUCGCUACACACUUGUCAAACUUCACCGACCUGUCCAUUACGAUACAGCUUCUCUCCGUAACCCUGGCAGAAAGUAGUGCUAAAUGGCAGUCGGGCUGGUCCAUGUAUAUACAGGUAGGGCCACAGUUUCUGCCAGAAUGCAUACUCUAGGUGCACAAAGUGUGAACUGCCAAGAUAUUCAUGCACCCAGCUUGGAGCAAACAGGGCCAGUGACAGGUUGUACUUGCGUGCCAAUUCAACAGCCUGAAACACCCAAAAAUUUAAAACUUCAUUUUUUUUUUGUUCAUUUAAUUUUAAGUACAGCACUUCAGUCCCAGCCACAUGGACACAGAAACCACAUGAUUACCAGAUCGUCACAGUGGCGUGUGAUUAAAAGACAAAUUUUUGCACAAUAUUUCUUGCUCAGGAACAGUACACUCUACCAAGAUUAUGUCAGGCGGUGUGGCAGACAAAUAAAUACUACUCGGUACCACCAACAAUUAUAUGUGGGACACCAUUAGGAUUUCACAUUUCUGUGCUUGCUUUGCAUUUGCACUUCAUAACUUGACAAAGACAAAAAAAAAAGAGAAGAGUAAUCAAUAAUUUUAUUAAUUUCUUUUAACUGUAUAAUUAUCCCAAAUCUAAUAUAUGGAUUCUUGCCUGCAAGUUACAACUUAUCAAAAGAUCUAAAGAAAAACUAUUUCAGCCAAUAAACUGGGAAAAGAUGGACUAUAUCAGAUAUCAAGAUUCCGUAUCUUGCCACUUUCUAGUCACCCUUCCAAAGUAUCAAAUUUUUGAACACAAGUAAUAAGUUUCACCUGGCAGGAGUUGAAACCACCACCCCCAUAGCAGUUGCGUCCAAAUACAUCGACACCUACAUAUACGUCUAGGUGACGGGCACCAGCAUUCUCUACGGAUUUCUUCAGAUUGUCUUCCUUCCAUGUGUAGUUCAAAAAUAUUCCAUCACAAUUAUUGAAGAAAGGCCUGCAAAAAUGUUAAAAUUCUUGAUUUAUGAUAGCCAUGCCACACUACCAUCACUAUGAACAACAUAACCAGUAGCAAGAAACUGACAAUGGUUAGUA